rnacentral:rRNA from 1 species
GACGAACGCUGGCGGCGUGCUUAACACAUGCAAGUCGAACGGAAAGGCCCUGCUUUUGUGGGGUGCUCGAGUGGCGAACGGGUGAGUAACACGUGAGUAACCUGCCCUUGACUUUGGGAUAACUUCAGGAAACUGGGGCUAAUACUGGAUAGGAGCUCCUGCUGCAUGGUGGGGGUUGGAAAGUUUCGGCGGUUGGGGAUGGACUCGCGGCUUAUCAGCUUGUUGGUGGGGUAGUGGCUUACCAAGGCUUUGACGGGUAGCCGGCCUGAGAGGGUGACCGGCCACAUUGGGACUGAGAUACGGCCCAGACUCCUACGGGAGGCAGCAGUGGGGAAUAUUGCACAAUGGGCGGAAGCCUGAUGCAGCAACGCCGCGUGCGGGAUGACGGCCUUCGGGUUGUAAACCGCUUUCGCCUGUGACGAAGCAUGAGUGACGGUAAUGGGUAAAGAAGCACCGGCUAACUACGUG